rfam:Plasmodium ovale wallikeri genome assembly, contig: contig505
CGUUUGAUUCAUUUUUGUCUCUUACGUAUGUACUUGUUAAGCCUUUAAGAGAAAAGUUUACAACUUAAGGAAUUAUAACAAAGAAGUAACACAUAAUAAGUUUACCUUAUUUAGUGUGUAUCAAUCGAGUUUCUGACCUAUCAGCUUUUGAUGUUAGGGUAUUGGCCUAACAUGGCUAUGACGGGUAACGGGGAAUUAGAGUUCGAUUCCGGAGAGGGAGCCUGAGAAAUAGCUACCACAUCUAAGGAAGGCAGCAGGCGCGUAAAUUACCCAAUUCUAAAGAAGAGAGGUAGUGACAAGAAAUAACAAUACAAGGCCAUUUCAUGGUUUUGUAAUUGGAAUGAUGGGAAUUUAAAACCUUCCCAAAAUUCAAUUGGAGGGCAAGUCUGGUGCCAGCAGCCGCGGUAAUUCCAGCUCCAAUAGCGUAUAUUAAAAUUGUUGCAGUUAAAACGCUCGUAGUUGAAUUUCAAAGAAUCAAUAUUUUAAGUAAUGCUUUUGGUAUAAGAUGCUUAGGCAAUACAACGUAUCUGCUCUUUGCAUUCCUUAUCCAAAAUGUGUUCUUAUUAUAAAAAGGAUUCUUUUUAAAAUCUCCUUUACUUUCUUGUACUGGAGAUUUUGUUACUUUGAGUAAAUUAGAGUGUUCAAAGCAAACAGUUAAAGCAUUUUACUGCGUUUGAAUACUACAGCAUGGAAUAACAAAAUUGAACAAGUCAAAACUCUGUUCCUUUUUCUUAUUUUGGCUUAGUUACGAUUAAUAGGAGUAGCUUGGGGGCAUUUGUAUUCAGAUGUCAGAGGUGAAAUUCUUAGAUUUUCUGGAGACAAACAACUGCGAAAGCAUUUGCCUAAAAUACUUCCAUUAAUCAAGAACGAAAGUUAAGGGAGUGAAGACGAUCAGAUACCGUCGUAAUCUUAACCAUAAACUAUGCCGACUAGGUUUUGGAUGAAAGAUUUUUAAAUAAGAAAAUUCCUUUUGGAAAUUUCUUAGAUUGCUUCCUUCAGUACCUUAUGAGAAAUCAAAGUCUUUGGGUUCUGGGGCGAGUAUUCGCGCAAGCGAGAAAGUUAAAAGAAUUGACGGAAGGGCACCACCAGGCGUGGAGCUUGCGGCUUAAUUUGACUCAACACGGGGAAACUCACUAGUUUAAGACAAGAGUAGGAUUGACAGAUUAAUAGCUCUUUCUUGAUUUCUUGGAUGGUGAUGCAUGGCCGUUUUUAGUUCGUGAAUAUGAUUUGUCUGGUUAAUUCCGAUAACGAACGAGAUCUUAACCUGCUAAUUAGCGGCGAAUACGCUAUAUUCCUACUUGAAAUUGAAUAUAGCUGAAUUUGCUUAUUUUGAAGAAUAUAUUAGGAUACAUUAUAGUGUCCUUUUCCCUUUUCUACUUAAUUCGCUAUUCAUGCUGUUUCUUUUUUGUGUAGGAAUGUAUUCGUUUGAUUGUAAAGCUUCUUAGAGGAACGAUGUGUGUCUAACACAAGGAAGUUUAAGGCAACAACAGGUCUGUGAUGUCCUUAGAUGAACUAGGCUGCACGCGUGCUACACUG